UUCAAGAAAGCUGUGGAAGAA
rnacentral:snRNA from 1 species